rnacentral:rRNA from 1 species
AUUGAACGCUGGCGGCAUGCUUUACACAUGCAAGUCGAACGGUAACAGGCCGCAAGGUGCUGACGAGUGGCGAACGGGUGAGUAAUGCAUCGGAACGUGCCCAGUCGUGGGGGAUAACUACUCGAAAGAGUAGCUAAUACCGCAUACGAUCUAUGGAUGAAAGCGGGGGACCGUAAGGCCUCGCGCGAUUGGAGCGGCCGAUGUCAGAUUAGGUAGUUGGUGGGGUAAAGGCUCACCAAGCCAACGAUCUGUAGCUGGUCUGAGAGGACAACCAGCCACACUGGGACUGAGACACGGCCCAGACUCCUACGGGAGGCAGCAGUGGGGAAUUUUGGACAAUGGGCGCAAGCCCGAUCCAGCAAUGCCGCGUGCAGGAAGAAGGCCUUCGGGUUGUAAACUGCUUUUGUACGGAACGAAACGGCUCUGGUUAAUACCCGGGGUUAAUGACGGUACCGUAAGAAUAAGCACCGGCUAACUACGUG